GCGACAAUAGCUCAGUUGGUAGAGCGGGACCUUGCCAAGGUUCAGGUCGAGAGUUCAAAUCUCUUUUGUCGCU
rnacentral:tRNA from 2 species